GAUGAACGCUGGCGGCGUGCCUAAUACAUGCAAGUCGAGCGAACAGACGAGGAGCUUGCUCCUCUGACGUUAGCGGCGGACGGGUGAGUAACACGUGUAUAACCUACCUAUAAGACUGAGAUAACUUCGGGAAACCGGAGCUAAUACCGGAGAAUAUAUUGAACCGCAGGGUUCAAUAGUGAAAGACGGUGUUGCUGGCACGUAUAGAUGGAUCCGCGCCGCAUUAGCUGGUUGGUAAGUUAACGGCUUACCAAGGGAACGAUGCGUAGCCGACCUGAGGGGGGGAUCGGCCACCCUGGAACUGAGACGCGGUCCAGGCUCCUACGGGAGGCAGCAGUAGGGAAUCUUCCGCAAUGGGCGAAAGCCUGACGGAGCAACGCCGCGUGAGUGAUGAAGGUCUUCGGAUCGUAAAACUCUGUUAUUAGGGAAGAACAAAUGUGUAAGUAACUAUGCACGUCUUGACGGUACCUAGUCAGAAAGCCACGGCUAACUACGUG
rnacentral:rRNA from 1 species